UAGAGUUUGAUCAUGGCUCAGAACGUACGCUGGCGGCACGCCUAACACAUGCAAGUCGAACGCAGUAGCAAUACUGAGUGGCAAACGGGUGAGUAUAAUGUGGGAAUCUGCCUUUUGGUUUGGAAUAACACGGGGAAACUUGUGCUAAUACCGAAUAAGCCCUUACGGGGAAAGUUUUAAUGCCGAAAGAUGAGCCCGCACUUGAUUAGCUAGUUGGUAAGGUAAAAGCUUACCAAGGCAACGAUCAAUAGCUGUUCUUAGAGGAAGACCAGCCACAUUGGGACUGAGACACGGCCCAGACUCCUACGGGAGGCAGCAGUGGGGAAUCUUGCACAAUGGGGGAAACCCUGAUGCAGCGAUGCCGCGUGAGUGAAGAAGGCCCUUGGGUUGUAAAACUCUUUCGUCGGGGAAGAAAAUGACUGUACCCGAAUAAGAAGGUCCGGCUAACUUCGUGCCAGCAGCCGCGGUAAUACGAAGGGACCUAGCGUAGUUCGGAAUUACUGGGCUUAAAGAGCUCGUAGGUGGUUAAAAAAGUUGAUGGUGAAAUCCCAAGGCUUAACCUUGGAACUGCCAUCAAAACUUUUUAGCUAGAGUGUGAUAGAGGUAAGUGGAAUUUCUAGUGUAGAGGUGAAAUUCGUAGAUAUUAGAAAGAACACC
rnacentral:rRNA from 1 species